AGAAGAACAGAAUAGAAACAGAGAACAGACGAAAAAGAAAGGAAGGAAAGGGGAAAGAAAAAUAAAAGGGAAAACUAGGGAUUUGAAGCUUGAAGUUUAAUAGGUAAGUAAAAUUAAGUCAUUUUCUCAUAAAUUUGAUGUUUUUGGAACCCUAGAGUGAAAUACUCAUGGAUUUAAGCUGAAAAUUUGAAAGUCAAUAGAUUUAUGAGUAGGGUUUAUGUUGAAUAAAUGAUGAAAUUGAGGGUUUAUUUGAUAGAAUUUCUAGUUAGAGUUGAUAAAAGGAUUAAAUUGUGAAGUAAGCUAUAAGUUUUAUGUUUGUAGGGAUUAAAUUGAGGAAAAUUCGAAAUUAAUGAAAUAUACUGAAAAUUUGGUAGUUAAAUUUGAGUUUAGAAGAAAUUUGAAUAGAAAUAGAGUGUGAAUAAAAUUAGAAAAGUAAAUAAAUUUAGUUAGGAUUAAAUUGGAAUUAAAGUAUAAAUUAGAUAGAAAUUCUAUUAUUAUUAUUAAUUAAUGUUGUAAUUGAUGGUGUAAAUUAUUAUUAUUUUCAUAGCUAACAAGGAACUCGAGGCGUCGGCACACAAAGGAAAGGAGAAGGUUAUUGAAGAAUAAUCGAGCAAAAUUCGGGUUUGUAUUACUAUAAUUUAAAUUUAUUUAUUAUUAAUUAUAUAUUUUAAUUAAAAUGCAUGGUAAGUAAAAUUAGGUAAGCAAUUGAAAUGAUAAUAGUGGUUUGAAUUGAAUCGAAAUAUGAUUAUAUGUGAUUAUUUGAAAUAUGUAUUGAUAUUAAAAUUGUUAAUUGUCUUAAGAAGUGAAAGAAAAAAAAAUGAUCUUGAAUUGGAAAUGAAAGUGAAUUGAGAAUUUGAAUACCCUAUUAACUAGUCGGGCUAAGUCGGAUAUAAUUGGCAUGCCAUAGGAUUUAGAAGAGUACGGGAUUUUUCGGCUUUGCCGAUCAGGCACUUUAUGUGUCCUAUCAGGCACCUCGUGUGUCGUUUCAGGCACUUUAUGUGUCGUAUACUGAUCAGGUACUAUGUACCGUUUAGGCACAAUGUGUCGUAUUGGUGUAUUUGGGUUGGAAUCCGUGUAUCCAUCAAAGUCCAGAUUGUUAAUAGGGUGAACAAUUUAUUAUGAGAAAAUUUAAAAUUUCGGAUUGAAAUUGAUAUUGAAAAUGAAAGGCAUGAAAUUAAUGCUUAUGUUGUGAUUGAAAUUGUUACAUGUGAUAUGUGAUUGAGAUCGAAAAUUUGCUAAAGAAAAAUUGUAUUAUUAUUGUUAAAUAAUGAAAGUUUAUAAAUUAAUUGAUAUUUAAGAAAUCGAAUAGUUACAUGCUUGGUAAUUAUAAUUCUUUAUUGCUAUUAUAAUUUGAAUUAUGGUAAUACCACUGAGUAUACAAUACUCAGCGUACGGUUGUUUCCGUGCAUAGGUUGAAAAGGGGUUAGAGUCUCGGUUCAGCAUCCAGGACAAUCCCGACUCCGACAUAAAAAUUUUGGUGAUGUUUUCUUUCUUUAAGAGAAAGUGACAUGUACAUAAGAAUUAUAAUAGUUAUUUUGGUAUGUUAUAUAGUUUUGUUGUGAGUAAGAUAUUAUGUGUUUUGAUGAUUAUAUUAGUAAAAUGGUAGAAAUCCUUUAUGGCAUUGGUAUCAAAUUGAAAUGGCUUGAUUAGUUUUAUAUAUUAAUUAGAAAUGAUAAUAGGAUUUUUAUUAAUUAAGUUGUUAUGUCAAUAUGCCAAGUAAGAUUUAAGUAUAUAA
rnacentral:lncRNA from 1 species